AGUUGGUGGGAUUUCACAAAGGCGGCCACAAGCCCUGGUCUUUGGAAGGGCCCCAUUAAGCAGGCACACUCCGAGCACAGCUGUCAGUGUUGAUCCAGUUGUUUGGCUUUGUAAAGAUGGAACUGUGGAAAGGCUGUCUUUGCUGCUUAACCUUAUGCAGUGAUUUUGACGGUACAAGCCUGAUAUUAUCGACUUAAAUCUCUUUGAAGAGCACCUGAAUUUUCCUACAAGCUGUAACAGAAGGCAGCAACCAGACCCCCAGUUAUGUAAGCAAUAAUAUAAUUGCUGUUCUGUUUGACAUGGUCAUAAUCUGAUUUCUGAUCGUAUGUUAACAAAUUAAGACAAUUCUGAGACAGAUAUUCAACAUCAUUAUUUUACUAAUCCACAUGUCUUUUUAAAAUUUCUAUUUUCUUUCAAGAAUGAAGUCUGUUCUCUGAGUUGUCUUAAUCUGUUAA